rnacentral:rRNA from 1 species
CCUACGGGGGGCAGCAGUGGGGAAUAUUGGACAAUGGGCGCAAGCCUGAUCCAGCCAUGCCGCGUGAGUGAUGAAGGCCUUCGGGUUGUAAAGCUCUUUCGCGAGGGAAGAAAACUUAGCCAAUAACACUGGCUGAGGCUGACGGUACCUUGAUAAGAAGCACCGGCUAACUUCGUGCCAGCAGCCGCGGUAAUA